rnacentral:rRNA from 1 species
UACAAGUCGAGCAGGGUCGAAAGACGGACUUAGUGAUCCGGUGGUUCCGCAUGGAAGGGCCAUCGCUCAACGGAUAAAAGCUACCCCGGGGAUAACAGGCUUAUCUCCCCCAAGAGUUCACAUCGACGGGGAGGUUUGGCACCUCGAUGUCGGCUCAUCGCAUCCUGGGGCUGUAGUCGGUCCCAAGGGUUGGGCUGUUCGCCCAUUAAAGCGGUACGCGAGCUGGGUUCAGAACGUCGUGAGACAGUUCGGUCCCUAUCCGUCGUGGGCGCAGGAAAUUUGAGAGGAGCUGUCCUUAGUACGAGAGGACCGGGAUGGACAUACCUCUGGUGUACCAGUUGUCGUGCCAACGGCAUCGCUGGGUAGCUAUGUAUGGACGGGAUAAGUGCUGAAAGCAUCUAAGCAUGAAGCCCCCCUCAAGAUGAGAUUUCCCAACUUCGGUUAUAAGAUCCCUCAAAGAUGAUGAGGUUAAUAGGUUCGAGGUGGAAGCAUAGCGAUAUGUGGAGCUGACGAAUACUAAUCGAUCGAAGACUUAAUCAAAUU